rnacentral:lncRNA from 1 species
AAAUAUUGUGAUGAACAGUCAGUGUUUAUUAUCCCACAAUGAAUAUGUUACAUAACCAUGAAGUAUGACGAUGAAACCAAGUUCUAAGUCGUAAAUAAAAUGGUGAAUGGAGUUGUUAGCAUGUUCUUUGUCAAUGGUUAUUUGAUAAGGAUGAUGAAAGAUGCAGAUGAAAGCACAGUAUCUAGAGAUGGACCAAUAAAGUCACUACGCAAAAGGAGAAUACGAAAGGAAUAAACUCUAUUCAAGUAUUUCAUUUCCUGGGAGAGAAUUCUAAAGUCCCUGUGCCAGAACUGACCCGGAAUCAAUCUGCACAUUCUGUUUAUAAAUAUCUAGCAAUGUUAUUCUUUCAGAUAUUUAUUCUUUCUUUUCAGGGGAAAAAGAAAGUAACUUUGAAGCUACAUCUUCUUUGAAUUUGGAAUUUUUAAAAAAGUGGCAAGUUAUAUAUCAGAUUUAUGAGAUUGAUAUUAUUAGAUGUUACAAUUUUAAUAACUUGAAGACAUUUUAGGUUUGUACCAAGCAAGAUGGUAUGUAGCAACCUUACUGCUGUUGGAAAAGUCAGUUAUUGGAAUUUUCACUUAAAUGGCUAUAACAAGAUUAAGUGAUGGUUUUAUAAUAAAAAUGAGAGUGUGUUCUGUUGCACAGAGAUAAAUGCAAUAAACUUUCUUGUGGUUGUUUAAUUAUAUCAGCAGUUGAAAGUGUUGUAUGUGACCCAGUUUGUGUUGAAUUAUAGUUACAGUCAGUUGUUUGUGUAAAUCAUAGAUUCUUUUAAAGAGGCGAUUUGGUGACAAAACACUAGUAAAAUGUCUGUCACAGAACUUACACAGUAUUUUACAUUGGAAUACAACAAUAAUAGGUUUAUGGUAUACAGAUUUUCUCUGAGCUUUUUUAAUUGUUUCAUGCCAGAGGAAUUUACCCCAUUCACAAAAUUGCUUGUGCAUUCAUGGCUCUUGAAAAUAAAAAUUACCUAUUUUUACACUUUAUACCCUAUUUAACAUGUAGAUUAUUAUUGGAGAGUCUUUAUUUUCCUUUAUUUAUUACCAUGAGAUUCCACUGGCUAAUAUCAGUGCUUUGUAUUUUUAUCUUGCUUUUUUCCUGGACAAAUUCAAAGUUGUCUGUGAGGUGGAUGGGAGUAGCUACUCUUAUUGCUCCUCUUGUUAGAGAAGUUACCAAAAGUCCCCGAACUACCUUAUAGUGAAGCUGUGAUGUUCCACUUAAAAUCUUUUAUUGAAUAUUUUUAUGUUCAAGUAACAGGUAUAGGGGAUUUAAAUCUUUGAAAUCACAGAACCAUUUUAUUACUAAAUAUCUAGAAAAAAACUACAUUACACUAGAGUUGAAUGAAAGUUUGGAUCCCUUGCUGGACCUGCAGCCAUCUCUGGACCAGCCCCAUCCCGGUUCUCUUACAUCUCCCUCCAUGGGUACAUGUUAGACCUCGAGGCUCCAGCUUCCCCUUUUACUAAAGAAGCCAAGCACAGCCAGGAAGCCCAUUCACUUCCUGUUUCAGAGAGAACUGAAAAUACAAGUAAGUGCUUUUCUCCACUGCCACAUUCUAACCUUCAUGAGUUGGUAGAAAUCCUAAGGCACAGUUAACCAUAAUUUGUAUUUAUUUAAUGCGAACUGAACUGAACUGAACUGGUCUUCCAGGGACUCCCACUCUAGCUUUAAUCUAGACAUGCUGAAUAAUUCUAAAUAUUUUUCAAAGUACACAGUUCCUUCUGGAGAUAAAUCCUUAACUACAAAAACCUUGCCAAACAGGUGUCAUAAAUGUGAAUAUUUUUUCUAAAUAUUGAUUAAACCUGUUUUUACUUUCUUAGUUGCAGAAUCACUUUUAACUUUUGGCUAAAUUUUAACUAAAAUUUGAACAUUUGGUUAAAAACUCCAGGAGCUUGCAGUGGUAAAAUCUGAGCAUUCAUUUUUGCCAAGUUACUGCUAAUUCCCACGCAUAUUCCUCUCAGUAGAUGUACCGUGGCUGAUAGGUUUAACCAAAACUAAAAUGCUUAUGAGUAGUAUAAGAGAUCUAUACAGUAGACAAAACAGAAUCUUAAUAAUGAAAUCCCUUUUUGCGUUUAUCCUAAUCUAACUUUAUUAUUUAAAAUGACAAAUUUUAUCUUCUUCUCUGCUAUUUUGCUUUUAGUUCUCCUAGUUUUACAUGCUUUUUUAACUUCACAGGCUAAAGUAACUUUUGUUUUCUUGAAAGUGUUUCUCGGCUAGCCCUGUGCUCAUUGACCAUUUCUCUAGGAAGACAUCAUGUUGGUAGUUUUUUUAAAGUGUCAGUCCCCAUGUAGAGGAGACACAGGAUGGAUGGAACUGCUUAUGUGUUACAGAGGACCACUAGCAGUGAAUUUAAUGUACCAUCAAAACCUAGAGUUCUAGUCCAGAAAUAGUUUUGUUAUCAGUAAAAACUAUUCCAAGUAAUCAAAACAUUAAUCUCUAAGGCACUUAUGAACAGUUUUUGGUUCUCCAGUUUGGACUGUAUGUUUUAACAAUAGCAGGAUUUAUAUAUAAAAUAUCAGGUGGCUAAGAAAGGUACUUAAAUCUUUUCCAUGGGUGACUUAUUAAAACAUAAUGGCAUUAACCCAUAAAUUUCAAUAAUUUUUCCCACAGUACAUUGCUCUUACACAUUUCCAUACUAUGGCAGCUGUGAGUGUUUAGGAAAUAAAGUCAUCCUCACUCUGACAGAUCAGAUGAGGCAGUUGAUGAGAGAAUAUGCACUUGGAAACAUCUUUGGAGUUUGUCUCUGGAGAGCCCAGUGCACAGAGUAAGUAGUUUUGAUGAUGGCCCCAGGAAAACUGGAAAAAUUAUGUAACACAGCAUCUUAAAACAUAUUUUGCACAUGUUAAAUGGUGGAAAUACUCUCUGUGAAAUUUGGAGUUAAAGUUUUAAUAAUGCAUUUGCUAAGCCAUUUAUACAUAAAGUAUGAAAUUUAAAGAUAAAUGCAUGAUAGAAUUGACCAUAAUGUAUUACUUCAGUUUCUGUCAUCACUCAACACUGCCCUUUACUAUAAGGUCAAUUAUGUCCUGGGGCCAACAUAAAGUUCUUGUUAUGCAUGUCCUUGUCUUUUCAAUAAUAUUAAUCCUUGAUUUUAUUGAAAUAAACCAUUCUUAGCUGGUUUUCUCCAUGAAGUAGUUAAGAGGCAAUUAAGUCAUUCUUGCUUCCAAUUCUUAAUCAGUCUCUGUUCUUUAAUGGUUUACAAGUGGUCUUAAUUUCUGGUGUUCACUGGUAAUAAUUUUGGUUGUGUUAGCACUGAAAAAGUAUCUGAUGACAACUACCAGUAAGGUAGGAAAAAACAAAAUUAUCAUGCAAAAUAAAAAAAGUUUUACACUCUUAAGAAAUUGAUCCUUUUUUUUUUUUUUUGCUUUAACCCUUAAAAUUAAUUUUCAGUUCUAUAAUUCAACUCUCACUUUUAUAAGAGGAGAGAAUUUGGGACAAGAAUAAAGACGCAACUUUACUAACUGGUGGGAAAAUGCUUAAAUGACUGGUUGCUUUUCUAUAAAAAGCUUUGUUGCUACAAUUCCAAAAUCCAAAAAUCUCUGCAAAAUGAAAUUUUUCUUUUAAAAAAAAUUCAUUAGUACGUGUUUGCAAUAUGUAGUGGUUACAUUCACCUUGGGGGUGUAUUUACAUGUGUAUAUCCUUCCUUGAUCAUUGUUACUCCACCUGUCCCACCUCCUUCCCCAGACCUCUUCCCAUCUCUUCAGAGUCUCCCUCCUUUUUUCUUAACAUGUCUCUUUUAUUCUGCUCUUUAUUUUGUGGGCCAAACUAGAGAAAUCAUGCAAUAUUUAAUCUUUUGUGUCUGAC